GUGCAUGCUGAACGAACACUGCUUGUGGACAUCUAACUUAAGUACCUUUAUAUCAACAAGUUCCGAACUUGGAAAGAAUAUGUAUCAGGAUGGUAUCUACCGUAUAGUUAUCUCUCAGUAGCCGUUCGGGUGUUACAAGGAAAUAGGGCAAUCAAACCAAUCCUCGGACAAGAUUGACUCGACAGACACAAAUUGUUCUCCAAUUCAUAAAAAAAAGCUUAUUAAUGAAAGAGUAAUAGGUGUCCGAGGACUUAUUCUUGGCCGAAGAUUGGUACACCUACCCGACCUACCCUGUGUGGAUCGAGACAGAACACCUAUUUUUGAUCGAAACAAUCAGCUAUUCCAGUUAAUGCAAUUUAUUCCAAUUUUUCUUUGGUUCUUCUGUUUGACAGUAUGUAUAACAGAAGAAAAGUUUGAGUUAAGGCUCCUUUAUGUCGUAAGAGUACGGAAUGGAGGAAAAGGAUGAGUUCGAUGUUUGGUAAACGUCAAAAUGAGAAGAAAAGAUAAUCGUAUUUCCAUUUCCAUACCCUAAGUAAGAAACAUAUCGAUAAAUUUCCUCAAACUCGAAAAGUAAUACUUCACUUCGUAUUGGGCAAAAUGUAAUUUCUAUCGCUUAAUUAUACUUCUUGACGCGAAAAUAACUAUCUGCUUAAUUUACGUAACUGAGGGAGUUGCGGGAACAUAGUUAAUUAAUAAUAUAGUUAACGAUGGGUACACCUUUGAAAAAAAUGAAAAUUGAACUUUCGAAGAUUCAUCUGUCAAGUAAAUGUACAAUAUGAAUAAACUGGAUAGUAUAAACGUGUUAAUUCUGCAUUUUUUAAGACGAAAAGCCC